CGGUAAGCACGCCGAGAGUCGUGGCCCCUCUCGUAAAUCUCAGACCUCAAGCCAUAACUGGCAACAACAACUUUGCACUCGCUGCGUAGUCUUGAGCUAAGCUCGACUCCUUAAUCGACUGGUCUAGGACCAGUUGACGAGUAUCCCGCCGGGGUCUUGGAAUGUCGCUCCGGAGUUCGGGAUAUCAUCAGGCAAUUCCUGCACGGGUGGAUGUCUCUAAAGCCCGCCAAGAUUCUGAGGAUACGCUUCGCAUGGCCUGCCGCCCGGCAGUGCGUCGCCGACAAUCAAAGGGAGGAUAAGCGUGUAGAAAGCUGGUUGGUGCUUUGUUUGGACGGCGGUUCGAGUCCGCCCAUCUCCACAA
rnacentral:tmRNA from 1 species